AUUGAACGCUGGCGGCAUGCUUUACACAUGCAAGUCGAACGGUAACAGGCCGCAAGGUGCUGACGAGUGGCGAACGGGUGAGUAAUGCAUCGGAACGUGCCCAGUCGUGGGGGAUAACGCAGCGAAAGCUGUGCUAAUACCGCAUACGAUCUAUGGAUGAAAGCGGGGGACCGUAAGGCCUCGCGCGAUUGGAGCGGCCGAUGUCAGAUUAGGUAGUUGGUGGGGUAAAGGCCUACCAAGCCAAAGAUCUGUAGCUGGUCUGAGAGGACGACCGGCCACACUGGGACUGAGACACGGCCCAGACUCCUACGGGAGGCAGCAGUGGGGAAUUUUGGACAAUGGGCGCAAGCCUGAUCCAGCAAUGCCGCGUGCAGGAAGAAGGCCUUCGGGUUGUAAACUGCUUUUGUACGGAACGAAACGGUCUGGGUUAAUACCCUGGGCUAAUGACGGUACCGUAAGAAUAAGCACCGGCUAACUACGUGCCAGCAGUCGCAGUAAAAC
rnacentral:rRNA from 1 species